CAUGCAGGCGGUCGUACGCGUUUUGUGUGACAGCGGGUGGCUUAACUACCCGAGUAUGCGAAAGACGGUAUGACUUGAGGGCUCGAAAGGGACACGGAAUUCCGGGUGGAGUGGUGAAAUGCGUAGAGAUCCGGAGGAACACCGAAGGCGAAGGCAGUGUCCUGGCGAGUGACUGACGCUGAGGUGCGAAAGCUAGGGGAGCGAACGGGAUUAGAUACCCCGGUAGUCCUAGCCGUAAACGAUGACCACCAGGUGUGGGAGGUAUCGACCCCUUCCGUGCCGGAGUUAACACACUAAGUGGUCCGCCUGGGGAGUACGGUCGCAAGAUUAAA
rnacentral:rRNA from 1 species